AGGAUGAGGAGAACAAUAAUUAAGAUUAUCAGAGAUUAUUAAAACUCUUUGUAGAGGCAAAAAAGGGACAAGAUUGGGAGGAGAGGGAGAGAAAGAGAAUAAAUGUGGAGUCGUCCAUCAAGAUGGUUCACAUGAUGACCUCAUUACAGCCUCACAGGUAUAGGACAUAGUCAUAGAAAAGCACUAAACUUUCGUUGUCAUUAUGCAUUCAAGCUCAUCAAACACUAAUACUAAAAAGAUGUAGCACUAGUAAGCUUUUUGCUGUAGUAUCUAGCCAUUUUAGAGAAGUAUUGCUGAUUUCACCUUUGAAAGAUAACACUUAAAUGGAAAAAUCUGUGCUUUCAGUACGGUCAUUAUUACAUCAUUUAAUAAUCAUUAAAUUACAAAAAAUCGCAAAAUUACAUUGUUCCAAAAGCUUGUUAAAAAGGACAUUACAACUUGUCCCGCAAUAUACGGUGCUGGGAUAGAUGCUCCAAGUACUGGCCUAACCUUUCGCAUUUUUUGCACAAAGUGGCUAACCUUAUACUCAAAUGCACAUUCAGCUCCCAAGCUGUUAUUGUUCCACCAAGCAAUGGCCCAUCUAUGAAAUUUUGUUGAUGCAAUUUUAUUUUGUUUCUUUUGAAAAGGUAUAGGGGAUCCAAGCCAUUUUUAUUUAUUAAAUAAAUAGAAUGUUCCCUGAAUCUUAUUAGUCUUUAUAAACUUUUGUGGAUUGUGGAUAGAAUAAAAGGAAAAUUCCUGUGGUUACUCAGUUAGUCAUACUUAAUGUACUCUUUAUAAUUUUUUUUAUCUUUAUUCUAUACAUCUAGGGGCAAGUCUAGGGUCCUUUAAUCAUUUUUUAAGUCGCAAGUGCCACUCAUCUUCUCCAUGUUUUCCCAUUAGUUUUUACAUUUGCGGUUUUAAUGACAGGGGGGCAGUUUAGAAUUGGUUGAAGUUCUGGUAAGAGAAAAAAAAAAAAAAAAAAAA